rnacentral:rRNA from 1 species
GAUGAACGCUAGCGGGAGGCCUAACACAUGCAAGCCGAGCGGUAGAGUUUCUUCGGAAACUUGAGAGCGGCGCACGGGUGCGUAACACGUGUGCAACCUACCUUUAUCUGGGGGAUAGCCUUUCGAAAGGAAGAUUAAUACCCCAUAAUAUAAUGAUUGGCAUCAAUUAUUAUUGAAAACUCCGGUGGAUAGAGAUGGGCACGCGCAAGAUUAGAUAGUUGGUGAGGUAACGGCUCACCAAGUCAAUGAUCUUUAGGGGUCCUGAGAGGGAGAUCCCCCACACGGGUACUGAGACACGGACCAGACUCCUACGGGAGGCAGCAGUGAGGAAUAUUGGACAAUGGGUGAGAGCCUGAUCCAGCCAUCCCGCGUGAAGGAUGACGGUCCUAUGGAUUGUAAACUUCUUUUGUACAGGGAUAAACCUACCCUCGUGAGGGUAGCUGAAGGUACUGUACGAAUAAGCACCGGCUAACUCCGUG